rnacentral:rRNA from 1 species
UACGUAGGUGACCAGCGUUGUCCGGAUUUACUGGGCGUAAAGAGCGCGCAGGCGGUCGUUCAAGUCGAGUGUGAAAGCCCCCGGCUCAACUGGGGAGGGUCAUUCGAUACUGAUCGACUCGAAGGCAGGAGAGGGAAGCGGAAUUCCCGGUGUAGUGGUGAAAUGCGUAGAUAUCGGGAGGAACACCAGUGGCGAAGGCGGCUUCCUGGCCUGUUCUUGACGCUGAGGCGCGAAAGCUAGGGGGAGCAAACGGGG